GAUGAACGCUGGCGGCGUGCCUAAUACAUGCAAGUCGAGCGAACAGACGAGGAGCUUGCUCCUCUGAUGUUAGCGGCGGACGGGUGAGUAACACGUGGAUAACCUACCUAUAAGACUGGGAUAACUUCGGGAAACCGGAGCUAAUACCGGAUAACAUGUUGAACCGCAUGGUUCAACAGUGAAAGACGGUCUUGCUGUCACCUAUAGAUGGAUCCGCGCCGCAUUAGCUAGUUGGUAAGGUAACGGCUUACCAAGGCAACGAUGCGUAGCCGACCUGAGAGGGUGAUCGGCCACACUGGAACUGAGACACGGUCCAGACUCCUACGGGAGGCAGCAGUAGGGAAUCUUCCGCAAUGGGCGAAAGCCUGACGGAGCAACGCCGCGUGAGUGAAGAAGGUCUUCGGAUCGUAAAACUCUGUUAUUAGGGAAGAACAAAUGUGUAAGUAACUAUGCACGUCUUGACGGUACCUAAUCAGAAAGCCACGGCUAACUACGUG
rnacentral:rRNA from 1 species